AAAAUGGCUUGAUCUUGGGUUGGAAAAGCUUUGGGUUCAGGUUGUUUUUAAGUUUUCACUGUUCCAUUGAUGUCUUGUUUGGAUUUUCUGAAAUCUUCUCAAAGUUCUGAAGCAUUUUCUGGUUCACUUGAGGUCGAGUAUGAGUUGAUCUGGGGUUGGAAACUAGUUCGUGAUUGGGUCCUGGGUUUUUUGCUUUGUGUCACUUGUUUUAAGUUUGGUUUUGCUGAUUGUUGCUCAAAUCUGGUUUUUGUUGCUGUUAGCUACUAGCUUUUGAUCUUCCUUGGUUUUGGUUUCAAUCUUAUUUCUAGGUACAUGACCUUGUAACCAUUUGGUUGUGAAGUGAACUGGAGGAAUAACAUGUUG
rnacentral:lncRNA from 1 species